rnacentral:rRNA from 1 species
UACGUAGGUCCCGAGCGUUGUCCGGAUUUAUUGGGCGUAAAGCGAGCGCAGGUGGUUUAUUAAGUCUGGUGUAAAAGGCAGUGGCUCAACCAUUGUAUGCACUGGAAACUGGUAGACUUGAGUGCAGGAGAGGAGAGUGGAAUUCCAUGUGUAGCGGUGAAAUGCGUAGAUAUAUGGAGGAACACCGGUGGCGAAAGCGGCUCUCUGGCCUGUAACUGACACUGAGACUCGAAAGCGUGGGGAGCAAACAGG